UAUGUAUCUUGGAGCUGUAUUUCUCUAUGAAGUCUGUGGAAGCUUGUUACCCUGUUAAAUGCCCAGCUUUCACUAAAUCCACACCUGAAGGUCAUGUGAAUUUUCGGCCCACCCAGCUUGACGGAGCUGAGAGCAGCUUUCUUCUGAGAUACCUGGUACUUGCUGCCUUUGCUUCAGGAUCCUAGAAAUUCACAGGUCUUCUUGACUUCAAAGUGGCCACAGCAAACCCCUGCUCAGGAUUCAGGAGGAAACCUUUACCACC